AUACGGAGGGUGCAAGCGUUAUUCGGAAUCACUGGGCGUAAAGGACGCGUAGGCGGGUUGGCAAGUCAGAUGUGAAAUCCUACAGCUUAACUGUAGAACUGCAUUUGAAACUGCUAACCUAGAGUAUGGGAGGGGGUGAUGGAAUUAGUGGUGUAGGGGUAAAAUCCGUAGAUAUCACUAGGAAUACCGAAAGCGAAGGCGAUCUCCUGGAACAUAACUGACGCUAAGGCGUGAAAGCGUGGGGAGCAAACAGGAUGAGAUACCCUAGUAGUCC
rnacentral:rRNA from 1 species